UCUGGAGAAACUGCAGCGGCUGAGUCAGCCGGCUGCUCUCGAAACGCUAUCGCGGUACUUUGAUGCCACAUGUGACAGUGACGUGGCGUCGGCGCUGGUUCAAGUCGGACAAAUUUUCUAACCGGCAUGCACUGCUUCAAGUCAGCCGCCGAUCGGUUCUCAUGGCGCCGCAUGAAGUCGAACACACCUAAAACCUUGAAGUGGGCGGAGCUGAACCGGAACUUCGUACAGUUAUACUUGAUAAGACCGUUAUGUCUAUGGUUUUACAGAACAAAUAUGCCGUGUUUAACUAAAAUAUAUAUAUAUUUAUAUUAUAACAUUUAUUUAAAUAUCUUCAAACAGUCGGAGCCGAUCAGUGCUUCAAGAUGUAGUGCGGUUGUGCCUCGGGGAAUGCGAGUUGAAGUACCAUUUUGGGGACCUUUCGUGAUCCGAUAAAAAAAUAUUUAAGUAUCUUCUAAUUAAAACAGUAGGGUUCGUAUGCAGUUUAGAAACAUGGAAAUUGAUUUAAGUAAUUUCCAGGAAAUGCAUGGAAAAAGGCAAGUGAAAUACUGCUAUUUUAUUUGCGCUUAUUUCAUUUAAAGAUUUUAGGCUAUACACAUUUGUUCUGCGUUGUCAUUUUGGAGGUUUAUGAUUUCCUUUGGCUCCUGCCCAGUUAAAACCGAUCUUGCAGGUCUGGAAAACUUUGGGAAAAAAUAUGGAAAAAUAUUUGUUUUUCGACUAUUUGCCCUAUUCAGUGUUCUAAAAUAUAAAAUUAAUUUCUAAAAAAUAAAUUGAUCAUAAUCUUUCAUGACAAACGUUUAGUAAUCAUCUGAAUAGGACUGAAUUAAUUCAAGGCACAUUUUUUUCAUUACGCGGAAGUCACGGUUCAUGGGCUCACGGUCUCAUCCUAGCUCUGUUUGUGUGUGUGCGUGUGGGUGUGUCUGAUUGAGGCUGAUUCUCUCCAGCUAUCGCGUUUUUUGGGUGGCACGCCACCAGCGGUUUGCCGCGGCUGGGCCUCCGUCGGUGCACCAGUGGCAAGCGUUCUGUCCCGUGUUUCUACUGAGCUCUUACAUGACAUCUUUGUUAAUAUAUUACAUUUAUGUUUUACAUUACAUUUUUACAGUUAGAAGGAAUCUGAAGCACUGAAUAAAAAUAGUGAGUUAUAAUUAUUAACAAAAGUUUAGUAUAAAAACUGCAAGCACAUUUUUAAAUGAAAUAAAUAGUUUGAAUGAUCUUAAAAACAACAAUACAAAAUCUAAUUAAAAAAAAAGCAAAAAAAAAAAAAAAAAAAAUCUAUAAAAAUGAAAUAAAAAUAAAAGUGCUACUUUGUCCCACUAUCACAUGCCGGUUGCAGUUUACACCUAUGUAUGAAUGGGUCAUAUAACUACAAAACGAUUAAAAUUCAAAAUUAAAUCUUUUUUAUUGUUGUUGUUUAUGUUCUAUAUAAUGUUUAUUUAAAUGAUGUGUGACGUGUUUUGAUGGACGCGCGCUAUGAGUUUCAUCAUUCAAACGCUGCAGCGAGGGAGUUACCAUGGAAACGAGGCUGCAACUCUCAAACUGACAGCUGCAACACUGCGUCUCUCGCUGCUGUUUUCACCGUUUUCAGGAGUAACACUUCUACAACAGAAGAGAAGCUCCAAGAUAUCUAAAUUUCUGAAGGAAGCUGCUGACAGAGAUGUGGCAAACAUAGGUUUCCCAUCCCAGUGUUACUACAGCUUGGAUCUAGCCUCACUUGUGGUGACUUCAGAUGAUGGCAACACUCAUGAAGACCCCAGAUGAUGGCAACUACAGAUGAACAUACCAACCUGACAAAUGUUAUGUAUUGCCUUAAAGCAUACGCUGAGUGAUUUUCAACCCACUUUGUAUUGUUACUAUGAAUAUAUGUGAACGAACAAUGUUUAAUCUUUCUCUGAGUUCCAUGAGAUAUACCUAUUUAUUUGUCAGCCAAAUAAUAUUUUGCAUUAUCCGAAUAUUGUUUAUUUACAUAUUACAGACAUUGUGGCAGUAUAAAGUGGAUUUAAAUUCACCAAACUUACCCUUUAAUGUUUGUCUGCUUAACUGAACAUGACUUUGAACACAUAACUUGUAUUAUCUUAGAGUUAUUGACAUAUAGACAUUAAUUUGUUGCCAGAAGAUGCUCCCCAUUGAGUCAGUCACCUCAGGCUGUUGAUAGGAUUUUUUUUUUGAAACCUUGAAAUUUUCUAAAGCUGCUUUGAUUGUGAAAAGCAGUGUACCCUUACAACAGUUAACCAUGUUUUUACUAUGGCAAAACUAGUAAUCAUAACUAGUAAUCAGGGUUUUUUAGUUUUUCUCAAACUAAGGUUUUGAUAUCGUGGUUCUACUAAAGUAAUAUUUUAGUAAUGCUGGAGUAAAACUGUGGUAACCAUAGUUUUUGAAACCAUGGUGAAGUUUGUAGUUACUAUAGUAGUUACGGAAAAGCGGAGGCUGCCGCUGGUGGUCCGCUUGAAAAACGAUGAGCAAAACGCCUGUGAACCGCGGGUGGCGUCCGCCGGUGGGCCGCCGACUCUGCCACCAGUGGGCCGCCAGUGGCCCGCUAGUCUUAUGUUAGCUGGGAUGUGGUGCACAACCUACUUCCUUCACUUUGUGAUAUCUAGACGUGAUUUUCAAUAAACCGCUCCUGUUUCCGCGCUUUGAAUCCACCAGUCUUUAUGACAGCGGAACUCUUUAAGCAGUCUUUUUUUUUGAACUUCACUAAACAAAUGUGUGUGUGCCAUGCAAACCAGCAAAAGAUAAAGAAGCAAACAUGUAGGCCUAGUAGAAAAUGUAUCUGUAUCUAAGCUGAUUAUUGACAGCGAGCUGGUUUGGUUUUUGAGAGACUGAGAUGCGCAACACGGCUGUUUGAUUGGUGAUCGCGCUGUGCUUAUUUAAUUCAUUCGUGUAUCAUAUCAUAGUCUAUAAAGUUUAAAUCAUUGCCUUUUAAAUAUACACAAAUAGUAGAACGUGUAUGAUGUAUUAUUUUAGUUGAUAUUACUCUUGCCAAGCUCUGAUUUCUGAGAGAUGCAUGGCAACAGCAAUGACGUGUUUGAUUUGCGUUCUUUUAGUUCAUAAAAUGUAUUCAUUCACUUCACACACUCAUUAUUGUGCAACUUUAGAGGUUUGUGUAAAAUAUCGCGCUGAUCCUCUGGCUUACCUGUUACCUAGCAAACACCAGACUGCGCUGCAGCCUCAGCUGAAUAUUCGGGCAGAAUUAUUCGUUAUUCGUUUUUGAAGCCAUUAUCCGUGCCUUUCGGAAUAAGGUAUUCGGCUUCGGGCACACCCCUAAUCAAGAUAGACAUCCACGGGAGGACCCAUCUGCCAUAUUAUCCCUUAUGAAAAUGAACCAUGGUUUUUUUAUAGUAACCAUGGUUUAACUAUGGUUUUUGUAGUAAAACCAUAGUAACUACAAAAUAAACCAUGGUUUUAGCACAGUAACCAUAAGCCGCUUUUCCACUAUCGGGCCGAAUGGUUGGUUAUCUUUGCUUAACCGUUCCCUUCCGUGCCGAUCCGGGCCAGUCAGCACGGAUACGGUUUCAUUUUCCACUGCGGGGCUGAUAACUGAUCUCUUUGGAAUGCAAUUCAAAUGUGUCAGUCGUUGCCGUGGUAACACAAGUGUUUACAUAUGACUUGAGGUGUAAAUAACCACCGCGUUAUGGCGGAUGAUCAGAAAUAGAUUUUAUUACUAAUUUGUGUUUACAUUGCUCAAAAUAGCGCGCUUAGCAAGCUCUCGCGCAGUACUCAAACAGUGACGCGCGACGCGCUGCUGGUUUAAAUGUUAAUUUGUCCUGUGCCCUCUUUCAAUAAAUCACAUUCUCAGUCAUUCCCAAACAUGUAAUUAACAAUGAUCACCAUUUGCUAAGCAAACUAUUUGGUUUUGGGUUUGUCGUUCUUGGAACCUGGUCUAUAAGACAAUACAAAAUUGAAACGGCCAAAAAAUAAAGCCCAGCAGGCCUGUCUGGCGUUUAAUGGUGUUAAUGGUGUUUUUUACAUGCAUGCUUUUUAUGCUAGUUUAAUUCUCAAAUAGAUCUGAUACUUUAGUUUCAACAAAUCUUUAACCAUCUGGGGUCGACAAACGCGGAUACGUGUUUUGAGGCAGAUUUUCCUGAUAAGGCCGAAAUGAGCUUGAAUUACUCUGCCAUUUUUGAUCGUACAGAUAAGAGCAAUACACCAUUUGAAUCUGUAAGGGGUCUACUUGUAUUUGUAUACACUCAUAAUAACAACUAAACUUUGUGCUUUUGAAUAAUAAAGAAAACAAACAGGGUGCGUUCUCAGUAGAGAUCAACCGAUAUAUCGAUUUACAGAUAUUUUCCCGAUAUUUAAGCAUUUUUCCAUAAUCGGAGAUUGGUUUUGUGAUAUCGGAUUCACCGAUAAACAGCGCCAUCCUGUGGGGGUUUUGAGAAUUGCACACAGGAUCGCCAUUGCAGCAGUCUGAGGGGAGACGAGACAACAACAGAGUGCAGAGGUACUUGAUUUGCUGUAGUUAGUAAACUUUAUUUAACAUUACAGUCAUGAAUGCACAAAUUACAUGUUUUACAUAAAUGCCUGAUAUGUAGGCCUAGUUUAUGCAGCUUGUCUCUAAGAAAUAGAGACGAACUCACAGACUCACAUAAAAUAAUCCGUCAGUCUGUCCCGAUAAAGACAUAACUUCGCCUGAAUUAAAUAAUAUGCAGCCAUGAAAGAGCGCAUGUUGGAAAUAAAAGCGCUGAAUUUAAUUAUCUCUCUGUUGUAUAUGCUCAUCAUUAGUCUUGUGAAGCUGCUUUCAUAUUGCUGUGCACUCAGCUGGUUGAUACUCAGGAAAUGCUCCAGCACGGAGCAACCCGCAUGUAACUUUUAAGAAGAUUCACCCUAAAUUAUAUUAACAUUUACUAUAUAACCAUUAUUUCGCUAAUAAACAUCUAAAUAAAUAACUCUAUGGAAACCAAUUAUUUAUUAUCUCCGCGAUCGAUCGCAGUUUGAGUUGCCUAUAGUACCGUGUAAAUGCAUAAACCGCACUGUCAGCAGGCAUUUCAUAAUCUAGAUUCUAGAAUGACAAAAACAUUAUU